rnacentral:tRNA from 1 species
AUUUAUAUAAUAUAAAUAGUAUAUUUAACUUCCAAUUAAAAAGAUCAAUCAAAUUGAUAUAAAUA